rnacentral:rRNA from 1 species
GAGGAAGGAGGGAGGCGUGCUUAACACAUGCAAGUCGAACGGAAAGGCCCAAGCUUGCUUGGGUACUCGAGUGGCGAACGGGUGAGUAACACGUGGGUGAUCUGCCCUGCACUUCGGGAUAAGCCUGGGAAACUGGGUCUAAUACCGGAUAGGACCACUUCUUGGAUGUUGUGGUGGAAAGUUUUUUCGGUGUGGGAUGAGCUCGCGGCCUAUCAGCUUGUUGGUGGGGUAAUGGCCUACCAAGGCGUCGACGGGUAGCCGGCCUGAGAGGGUGUACGGCCACAUUGGGACUGAGAUACGGCCCAGACUCCUACGGGAGGCAGCAGUGGGGAAUAUUGCACAAUGGGCGCAAGCCUGAUGCAGCGACGCCGCGUGGGGGAUGACGGCCUUCGGGUUGUAAACUCCUUUCGCUAGGGACGAAGCGUUUUGUGACGGUACCUGGAGAAGAAGCACCGGCUAACUACGUG